GGUGUAUGACUGAACCAAGCAGGAGAUGCAAGACGUAUACGAGUCUUCAACCCGAAAGGCUGACUUUCCAAAGGUCUCACAAUUACACAUUGUCACUAAUGUUGGACGCCUCAAGGUCAUCUUUUUGGACAGAGUUAACUUGGUUGGAUUUGAGUUGAUGAUGAAGUGCAUAUGAUGAAUCAAUUUCUUUUCAGUCGUGGCCAAUGUCAUGACAAUGAAGACAUCAUAAAAUGUAGCGACGAUGCGGUCUGAUGCACCAAAUAAACAUCAAUAGAAUUUUAUUGCAAGCAUAUCUGCAGACGACGAAUUGAAGUAAGAUU